rnacentral:tRNA from 1 species
GCGGGUGUGGUGAAAUUGGUAUACACGCCAGAUUUAGGUUCUGGUGUCGCGAGACGUGAGAGUUCGAGUCUCUCCACCCGCACCA